GCUGCCCCCGCGACCCGGCCCCGGAUAAGCGGAAGAAGAUGACAACUACAAAGACGCCAUCAGGCUAAUGUACCAAUAUGAGACCGGCUGCAACACCUCUGAGCUACAGUCUGAGGCAGAGCAGGAGUGGGAGCUGCCAGAGAAACAAGUCAGGAAGCCAAUCCAUGACCUUCCAACUCGGCUGGUGUAUCAGUUGGAGCCUCAAGCCCAAACCAGUUACACUGGCAGACUCCACCAUCUCACCGAGUGCCAGGCAGCAGAGUCACUACUCCUCAACCUGGAGGAAACUGUCUAGCACCUGACCAUGGGGCCAGACUGCAACACCCUUCACCACCUCAACUCCCUGCACCUGCAUUUAACAUGAGGAGUGUUACUCAAGGAAUGGCAGUCCCUCCUCACCUCCCUCCACCCCCCGCACCAGCCCACAACAUGAGGCGAACAGAGGAGCCCUCUUCAAGCCUGGCCUACAGACCAACAUGGCGAGGGGGAAGAACGACUGAUACCAUUCCCUGCUCUGGUGCUGUGAGGAAAAACACAAUGACACGGUCAGCCACGGACGCAGAGGUCACCAAGCAUGCAAUCAGGUGGUUCAACUUGGCAGCGGAUCGGGCAACGAGGAGACGUGUCCCGCCUCAAGCCACACAAACGGAGUAAUAGGAGAAAUAAUUAAUAAACAAUAUUUUUAUCGAACUUCUUGUCGUUCACCAGUUAUUCAUUUUCUGAUAUUUUAGCUGUGCGUUUCAUUGAAGUUUUAGUCUAAUGGAUAAAAUAUUUUGUCUGCACCGACCCGGGCCUAUAAAGCACUAAAUUAGGUUUUGACAACAAAAUGAAUGUAAAGUAGCUUAGCCAACGUAGUCUACUUAACAAAAACAGAAUAGAAAGAACUUAUAACUUUCCAUAAAUGUAAAUGACAAUUUGAUAUUUCCAUUGAGUAGUGAUUACUUUU